UAAGAAUUUAAAAGUCGAACAGACUUAUUUACCAAGAAUACUGCUUCUCAAAAUUUUCUUAAUUCAACAUCGAGGUCGCAAAAUUUAAUAUAGAUAUGAACUCCCCAUUAAAAUUACGCUGUUAUCCCUUAGGUAACUUAAUCUUAAUAUCCUGAAUAAGGAUCAUAAUCUACAUAAAUAUAUGAAUUUUUAAACUAAAGUUUAUAUUUAGUUACUACCCCAGCAAAAAAGAAACCUGGUUAUAGGAAAAUUUAACUAAUAAAAUUUAAUUAUAAAGAUUUUAAUAAAGUUCUACAGGGUCUUAUCGUCCCAAUAAUUUACUAAAGCAUUUUGACUUUAAAUUUAAAUUUUAACAUUCAAAAAAAUAAAAUAUAAUUCUCAUUCAUCCAUUCAUACAAGCUUUCAAUUAAAAAACUAAUUACUAUGCUACCUUUGCACAGUCAAGAUACUGCAGCCAUUUAGAAGAUUUACCAUAGGGCAGAAGAUACUUUCUAUAAAAACA
rnacentral:rRNA from 1 species